rnacentral:rRNA from 1 species
CCCUUAGAUGUUCUGGGCCGCACGCGUGCUACACUGAGUGGAUCAGCGGGUCAGGUUGCGCGAAAGCGUUUCCUAAUCUUUAAAUCCGCUCGUGAUGGGGAUUGACGGUUGCAAUUUUCUGUCAUGAACGAGGAAUACCUUGUAAGCGCGGGUCAUCAUCCCGCGCUGAAUACGUCCCUGCCCUUUGUACACACCGCCCGUCGCUCCUACCGAUUGAAUGAUCCGAUGAAUACCAUGGAUUGAGAGUUCGAAUAGGUUCGCCUAUUUCAGCUUCUCGAGAAGUGGAGUAAAUCUUAUCAUUUAGAGGAAGGAGAAGUCGUAACA